UACGAACGGUACAAACGUUAUUCGGAAUCAUUGGGCUUAAAGGGUGCGUAGGCGGCCAUGUAAGUGAGGUGUGAAAUCCGUCGGCUCAACCGAGGAACUGCGCUUCAUACUGCAUGGCUUGAGGGAGACAGGGGUAAGCGGAACUGAUGGUGGAGCGGUGAAAUGCGUUGAUAUCAUCAGGAACACCGGUGGCGAAAGCGGCUUACUGGGUCUCUUCUGACGCUGAGGUACGAAAGCUAGGGGAGCGAACGGG
rnacentral:rRNA from 1 species